UAGGAUUCCCUUAGUAAUGGCGAAUGAACAGGGAUAAGCUCAGCAUGGAAAUUGGGGCCUCUGGCCUUGAAUUGUAGUCUUGAGAUGUGCUACCAACGGAGGCGCAGAUGUAAGCCUCUUGGAAAAGAGCGUCAGGGAGGGUGAGAGUCCCGUAUGUCAUCUGCAGUUCUCUGUGCACGGUACAUUUUCUAAGAGUCACGUUCCUCGGGAUUGGAGCGCAAAUUGGGUGGUAAAUUUCAUCUAAAGCUAAAUAUUGGUUCGAGACCGAUAGCAAACAAGUACCAUGAGGGAAAGGUGAAAAGGACUUUGAAAAGAGAGUUAAAAGUGCCUGAAAUUGCUGAAAGGGAAGCGAAUGGAACCAGUUGUUCUUGGCGAGUAUUGGUGUUGUCUAAAGUGAGGGCUUGCCACUUCAGCGCAAGUGUGGUGGCAGGUUUUGAUCUGGAUGCGAUACUGAAUCUCGCCUUGCAUGUCAACGUCAAUUCAUAAUUGAGGAAAACUCUAGGGACUUGGUAAUUUGCUUCCGGGUGACUGAAUGUCCCUAGUUGAACUCAUUUUUGAAUUGCUUUUUAUAUGUCUUGUAGCAGUGCUCUGUGAGCUUGCCUUCGAUCUGAUGCUCGCUCUGCUUUGCAUGGGAUUGUUGGUGCCUGGAGCAUGUCUUUGACAUAAGUACGAUGACGAAAUGGUUUUAUUCGACCCGUCUUGAAACACGGACCAAGGAGUCUAACAUAUGUGCAAGUUCACGGGCGGGAAAACCUGCUUGCGCAAUGAAAGUGACUGCUGGGAUAUCUGCACCAGCAACCGACCAAUCAAUUGUGAGAGGUUUGAGUAUGAGCAUAUCUGUUAGGACCCGAAAGAUGGUGAACUAUGCCUGAGAAGGGUGAAGUCC
rnacentral:rRNA from 1 species